UACGGGGGGGGCAAGCGUUGUUCGGAAUUACUGGGCGUAAAGGGCGCGUAGGCGGCCUGUUAAGUCGAACGUGAAAUCCCCGGGCUCAACCCGGGAACUGCGUCCGAAACUGGCAGGCUUGAAUCCGGGAGAGGGAUGUGGAAUUCCAGGUGUAGCGGUGAAAUGCGCAGAUAUCAGGAAGAACACCCGUGGCGAAAGCGGCUCUCUGGAACGGUACUGACGCUGAGACGCGAAAGCGUGGGGAGCGAACAGG
rnacentral:rRNA from 1 species